rnacentral:rRNA from 1 species
GUUGAACGCUGGCGGCAUGCCUUACACAUGCAAGUCGAACGUGAAAGCGGGGCAACCCGCAAGUAGAGUGGCGGACGGGUGAGUAAUACAUCGGAACGUGUCCAGUAAUGGGGGAUAACCUAGCGAAGGUUAGGCUAAUACCGCAUACGAUCUACGGAUGAAAGCGGGGGAUGCGGCACUAAAGGCUUUUGGCGAAGGUGGCCAAAGGUGAGUCAAGAGCUUUUAGUGCUGCACCUCGCGUUAUUGGAGCGGCUGAUGUCUGAUUAGCUAGUUGGUGAGGUAAAGGCUUACCAAGGCGACGAUCAGUAGCUGGUCUGAGAGGACGGCCAGCCACACUGGGACUGAGACACGGCCCAGACUCCUACGGGAGGCAGCAGUGGGAAUUUUGGACAAGUGGGGCAACCCUGAUCCAGCCAUGCCGCGUGAGUGAAGAAGG